UACGUAGGGUGCAAGCGUUAAUCGGAAUUACUGGGCGUAAAGCGUGCGCAGGCGGUUUUGUAAGUCUGACGUGAAAUCCCCGGGCUCAACCUGGGAAUUGCGUUGGAGACUGCAAGGCUAGAAUCUGGCAGAGGGGGGUAGAAUUCCACGUGUAGCAGUGAAAUGCGUAGAGAUGUGGAGGAACACCGAUGGCGCAAGGCAGCCCCCUGGGUCAAGAUUGACGCUCAUGCACGAAAGGCGUGGGGAGCAAACGAG
rnacentral:rRNA from 1 species